GGCCAGCAGCCGCGGUAAGACAGAGGGGGCAAGCGUUGCUCGGAAUCACUGGGCGUAAAGGGCGCGUAGGCGGGAUGGCAAGUCGGUCGUGAAAUCCUUCGGCUCAACCGAAGAACGUCGGCCGAUACUGCUGUUCUUGAGGGAUGCAGAGGAGACUGGAAUUCCCGGUGUAGCGGUGAAAUGUGUAGAGAUCGGGAGGAACACCGGUGGCGAAGGCGGGUCUCUGGGCAUUUCCUGACGCUGAGGCGCGAAAGCGUGGGGAGCAAACGGGAUUAGAUACCCCGGUAGUCCACGCUGUAAACGAUGACGACUAGGUGUGGGGGGGGUUAGUCCCUUCCGUGCCGCAGCUAACGCAUUAAGUCGUCCGCCUGGGGAGUACGGCCGCAAGGUUGAAACUCAAAGGAAUUGACGGGGGCCCGCACAAGC
rnacentral:rRNA from 1 species